AUGCGGUGGUGAGGACAAGCUUCCAACAACUUUUUAAACCUUUCCCAAUAUUCAUAAAGGGUCUCUUCAUCUCUUUGCAUGAUGCAAGAGAUUUCUUUCCUUAGACG